UUACCCGCCAUUAUUGUAAGUGCAGGUAAUUGAGCUGCUCAUAAAGUAUCAAAAAAUCCUCUUUUAUAUCACAUGUCUUAUGUGGAGGCUGAUCUCACAAUUUGGGUUGAUGAUUAGAUUUGUUUCUGUUUGCUAUCCUAAUCAUCUUCGAAUCUAUAAUUUGAGUAAUACGUAAUAUUUAUAUUGGCACAAAUUAAUAAAUCUUCUAUAUUUUAUAUAUUUAAUGUAGUAUUUUAAUAUUUUUCGAAGGUAACAAGUCUUGUUAUACUUAUAGAUAGAAAGAUGAAAUUACAUCGUUGUAGGGAUUACAUGAGUAAGAGAAAAUAACGAGACAUUGUCCGGGUAAUUUAGAGUAGUACGAUCCACAAAAUGGACGGCACAAUUACCUGAAGGGGAAACAUGCAAAAAAGAAACUAGAGGCAAAUUCCUUAGUAGAGGUUGACAUUCCGGUAGAAGCUGUCACACCCGAAUGUCGGAAGUAGAGGAAUUGAUUAAACGAACUGCCUCUGCCGAGUCUGAAUGGAUGAUAAAACCAUCAAAAUAUCUUAUCUGAGCAACGUACAAAAUUUAUCGAAUUGCUAAAAACUACAAAAAUAAAGGAUUUGUAAAGUUCAAAAAAACGUAUAUAUAAUCCGACUAUGUGCAUUAACCCAAGAUCAAAAUAUUAUCGUCAGUAAAUCAUCUAACUAAAUUGAUUGAUGAGUUAAAAUUCUCCCACACCAACUUAAUCCCUCGUCGGGACCCUUUUGAGACGUUGAGGGAGUUGGCGAAAUUAAGGGCACAAACUCCUAAAAUGACGUUGACAAAAACCUAACUAUUUAAAGCAAUAAGAAAUCCCAUUUUGUUUUUAUGGUGUAAAAAUGAAGUCGAAAUCCAUUGAUGGAGCAUUUUGAUUUCCACCUUGAACCUACUUUGAUUAAUAUUAUUUCUCAAUGUUACUACCACAUUCUUGAUCAGGUGAUUUAUAGGUAUACAUCCACUCUUACCAAAUUUUCUUACACCAAUGCAAUGAUGACUCCUUUUUUUAUAAGUCAUGCUACUUAUUGUACAAUUUCUUAUAUUUUAUUUUAACCGGUUGAAAGAUAAUACAUACAUAUUUACAUAUUUGUACGAGUUUACUAUAAUCAAAUAUCAUUGUAAAACGUAUCAGAAAGUUAAUAAGUGAUAAUGUAAAGAAGGAGCGGUAAAGCGUAUGUAUAUGAAGGAGCGGUAAAGCGUAUGUAUAUGAAGGAGCGUGUAUGAGAUAGAAAAAUAUAUGUGAGUACCUAAUAGUAUAUUGGUGUAUCUAAUCUAAAGGUAGUUCGCUUGGUAAAGCGUUUUGGCCUUAGUGAUGAAUAAUGAAUAAUAUCAUCGUUGUAAUGAGGGGAGUUCGGAACAAGUUGUCAUAUAUAUAUAUAUAUUAUUAGUUAAUUGGUGACCCAAUUGAGAUUGAAUUAAAAUCUUUAGUAAUGAAUUCUUGAGAUCGCUUAUUUUAUUUGAACAUCCUAAAAUUACUGGUUAUGUGUCUUCACUGAACCUAGACAAAUUAGUUGAUACCAUGGACGGUUGGACUUGGACCUAGCCUGGACCGGUGGUCCAGCCACCAGGCCAUCCAGAUCAGAAGAAUGAGAACUUGAAUGUGGAAAUGACGAUUAAAUCACUGACCGUUUUCCUUAAUAAAAAAAGUAAGAAGUGGGAGACAAGGAAAUGAUGAUAAAAAAGGGGUCGGAAUAUCAUGGGCCGUACGUGUAUUCACUCGUUUGGUUUCAUGAUCUUUCACUCGUUUUCUUCUACUUUUUUUUUGUUUAUAAUAGUAAUUAAUUAUUAGUUGCCAAUCACUGUCAUCAUUCAUUGACCCAAACCUAAUUAACAUAUCCUCCAAUACUCCGUGCGCUCCGUACUACGUAAACUUGGCUUUGUUUAAUAUUAAAUAUAACAAUGAAAAGCAAUGGUGAUAUAGGCUUGGACAUGGGUUAAAACCGCGUGGAUACCCGCCUGUGAGUUCCCAUUGUGGUUGGGCUUUACCCGAUAAAAUCAGUUCGUCAAAGGGCAUAAGUUUAUCUGAAAUCCGUCAUAAUUUGGGUUUGGGUUGUCUCGGAACAUAAUCUGCCCUGGCACCCGACCGACGGAUUAUCCGUCUUAUGAAAACGACGAUGUUUACAUCCACAUAUAAAACCUAUUCAUAAAUCUCAGAAAACCCUAGCCGCAUUUCCACCCAAUUCACACCUCCACCCUUACCGAUUCUCUCUCGAUUCCUAAACCCUAUUUUGGCGAUUCCGAUUUCCUAUGUCGAUUUUCCCUCAAAUCUCACGGGUUUGGAGGAAAAUCCGCUAGGAAAAUCUCGAGCUCUUUCCCGUUUCAUGAAUCCAUCCAAUCGUAAGGCUCUGGGUUGCUGCAAUCAGCGGUGUUUUCAUCGAUUUUGCCCCAAAUUGAGUCUGUUAGACUUCUUCGACAGAAGCAUGCACCGGAUUCUUCGAUUGCAGUCUACAGAUAAGCACCAAACAUGCAUCGUCCUUUACCUUUUAAAAAACACUUGAGAAUUCGUAAUUAAUUACUAAUUAGGGUUUCGUGUUUGGCAGUGACUCUUAUGCAUCCCCUGUUCUUAAGCUAUAUAUAGGAAUGCUCCAGAGCUUCUCAGAGACCAUGUUCAAUCAUUCAGAGUUACAGAGCACACUACAGAGUAAGGUUUUUUCAAUUUUGUUAUUUGAUGCUGUCGUUGAUAAUAAGUACUAUGCAUCCAUGACCUAACCCUGGUGCGUUCAUUCUUUUUGCAGGCGUUGCCGAUUAGCAACUUCAAAUACUCGUUCCUAGUUUAAGAAACUAGGUGUCUACUCAACAGUUUACUAGAGGUAACUAUUAAUACAGAACUACGUAUACUGCCUCUUUCUUGUUGGUAGUUGCCUGCUUCUUGUUUGCUCAAAAUGAGUUGGUAGUUGCAUGUUUGUUGUUGAAUGUUGAUUGAAUGUUGAUUAUCAUUUUUAAAACAUUGGUUAGACUGUGUAGGUAAUCUACUGCAAAUAUUCUGGUAAAUUGAAAUUCUGCAACCGCUGAAAUUGUUAUAAUCUCUCAAGUCUCAAAUAUCACGUAGGGUUCUAUAGACCAUUUCUUCUGCUAAAUCUUCAAACUAAAAUUAAAUGAUAUAUGGUAUGGGAUGAGAGCAAAGUAAGAUAACAUAGAUCACUAGUAGACGAUGAGUAGAAGAGAUCUAACUUGUACAAUGAUCUCCUCUUAUCAUCAUUUACACGUAAUCUAGCCUAUUUUACCAUCUUUUUUUAUCUUAUAACUUUGAUCUCAAAAUUUCAAAACCCUAAACCUAAUGAACUAUCCUAUUAGCCCCUUUCUUCUUAGCUGCUUAAUCCUCUAAUGAACUAUCCUCUUAACCCCUUUUCUUCUCUAAUUCUUAAUCUUCUAAUGAACUAUUCUCCCAUCCCCUUUAUUCAAUGAUACUUAAUCCUUUAACGAACUAUUCUCUCAACCCCUAUCUUCUUAGAUACUUAAUCCUCUAAUGAACUAUUCUCUCAACCCUUAUCUUCUAAGAAUCAUCUAAUGAACUAUUCUUUCAACCAUUUUCUUGUCAGAUGGAAGGUGCAAUGAAUGUUGAUCUGGAACCUAAUGUUAAUGCUCCCAACCCUAAUGAAUUGGCUGUUCAAAAUGAAAAACCUCAAGAAGCUGCUCCGGUGGGAAAUGAUAAUGUGGUUAAAAAAAUGAAUCUGAACCACGGGUUAGGCUUACUUCUGAUGUGUGGCUACACUUCUCUAGGGUUAGGGUUAAUAGGUUACUGAAGGCUACGUGUAAGUACUAUAAGAAGUUACUAGGUGGGGAAACUGCCAAUGGAAUUUCUCACUUAAGGAAUCAUCUCAGGUUGUGUCUCCAUAAAAAUAUACAUGAUGGUCAACAAAAAAUACUUGGCCCUAAUUAUCAACCUGCUAGUAAACCACAACUGUCUGCAUCCCAAUACAAUGGUAAGGUGUGUAGGAAUGAGCUCUGUUCCAUGAUAUUGCUUCAUGAGUACCCUCUUAGCAUCGCUGAGCAUUUGGGGUUCAAACAGUUCUGUUGUGCCUUGCAGCCUUAAUCCACAGUCCCUUGUAGAAACACUAUGAAGAGAGAGAUAUUGACCUUGUAUGGUGCUGAAAGGGAUAAGUUUCAAAGGAUAUUUGAUGGAAAUACUGGUAUGGUGUCUGUAACUACCGAUUUGUGGAGUGCCUCUAAACAGAAAAGGGGGUAUAUGGCACUGACUAGACAUUUUAUUGAUAAUGAUUGGAAGUUUCAAAGUAUCAUGCUUAGGGUUUUGUAUGAACCAACCCCUCACAUAAGUGAAAGGCUGGCUGACCGUUUGUUUGAUUCGUUGUUAGAUUGAGACGUUAAUGGAAAGUUAUCCUCUAUCACAUUGGACAACUAUUUCACCAAUGAUUCUAUGACGAAUCAGCUGAAAAACAAACUUGUGGUUUCUGAUAUAUUGCUAGAAGGAAGAUUAAUUCAUAUGAGGUGUAUUCCUCAUAUAUUGAAUUUGAUUGCGAUGGACGGUUUGGAUGUAAUCAAAGUUGGAGUCCACUUAAUUAGGGAGAGUGUAUUAUACUGGAAUUCUACACCUAAAAGGGUUCAAAUCUUCUUUGAAACUGUUAAGGAACUCAGAGUUGAUUCUGGCAGGAAACUUGUCCUUGAUUGCCCAACUAGAUGGAAUUCUACUUAUGAAAUGCUAUUUGUUGCUCUUCCUUACAAAGAUGUGUUUUCCCAUUUGAGGCAAAGAGAUAGUCAAUACAACACGGUUCCCUCUAAUGCUCAUCAGGAAUUUGUUGGAAUUGUGAUUGACUAUUUGGGAAUUUUUACUAAAUUGACUAAGUUGUACUGGUUGCAAGUAUCCGACUGCUAAUAUGUUUUUCAAAGGGAUUUGUGAGCUUAGACUCCAGCUGAUUCAAUGGUGUGUCGAUACUAAUUCUCUUAUUUCGAGAAUGGCCGGUAAUAUGUGGCUCAAGUUUACCAAGUAUUAGGAUAAUAUUCAUCAUGUUUUUGCUGUUUCGGUAGUAUUUUGGAUCCUAGGUAUAAGCUCCAUAUCAUUGAGUUCUAGCACUAGUGACACUGAGUUAGUGGCUGAUAAUGUCAGGAACAUUAUUUUGUUCACUGAUUCUUGAAUACCAAACCGGAGAUGAAAAGAAAACUGCAAAUUAUGUUACUGCCUCUAGUAGUUCUGCAACUGUGACAGGAACUGACCUUGAUUUUGAGAGGUCCGUAAGUAUGAAGAAAAAGAGUGAGGCCACUCUGGUUACUUCUAAACUGGACCACUACAUGGCUGAGCCAUUAGUUCCCAAGCCUCAUCCUGAUGAACCACCACUAGAUCUACUUUAGUGGUGGGGGGGGGGGGAUCUGCUUUAGUGGUGGUGGAGGUUUAAUGGUUUGAAAUAUCCAACUUUGCAAGCAAUUACAAGGGACUUUCUUGCAAUUCCUAUAACUUUAGUUGCAUUUGAAAGUGCUUUCAGUUCAGUGGAAGAUUGUUAGACCUCCAUCGGAGCAGGCUUCGCUAUUCAACUGUCAAAGCGAUGAUGUGCACAAGGAGCUGGAUUAUGGAAGACAUGCUACCAAGUAAAGCUCUCAAAUUAUAGUCAAUUGUUCAGUCUUUUAGCAGUGUUCGGGAAGGCGAGUCUAGGCGGCCGCCUAGACAUAAAAAUCGGCAAGACGGAGAGGAAACGCGACGAUUAGUGUAAGGCGGACUGAUUAAGGCGGAUCGUCGCGGAACCGUCGCGGAAUCGUCGAGGCGAGCGCCUCCUCAGCGCUGAGACGAAAAAGGUGGAGUCGAUGCAUUUUAUAAAAUAGAAACAGAAGCAUAAUCGAAACUAACCUAAAUACCCAGAGACAGAGUUGACACCGUUCUCACCCAUCGUCGAGUCGUCUCCUCCUUCCAUCACAUAUGUGUGUUGCGAUCGAGGUCGUCUCCUCCUUCCAUCUCCUCUGUGUGCCAUGAUUGGCACCGUAUCCUCCUUUCAUCUCAUCUAUGUGUAGCGAUACGCCGUCUCCUCCUUCCAUCUCCUCCUUCCAUCUCCUCUGUGUGCAGCAAGCAAUCGACGCCGUCUCCUCCUUCCAUCUCGGACACCGUCUCCUCCUUCCAUCUCCUCUGUGUGCAGCAAGCGGCACCGUAUCCUCCUUUCAUCUCAUCUAUGUGUAGCGAUACGCCGUCUCCUCCUUCCAUCUCCUCCUUCCAUCUCCUCUGUGUGCAGCAAGCAAUCGACGCCAAGCCUACCACCGCCCACCGUCCUCACUCCUCCCUGCCGAUCCAAGAUGACUGCUUCAUCUCCUCUUCUCUCUGUGUAUGAAAUCGGCAAUCGUAGCAUCAUCUCCUAGUCCACUGUUUCUGUAAAUCGCUGCAAUGUUUAGCUGUAAUACUGCAACCCUUUGGGUACAGCAGCUGCAGUAUUAGGGUUUAGGUUUGUUUGGAAAGGUAAAUGGAUGUAUGUUAAAAUCUAGUUGAUGUAAACUGUAAACACAGCAACCCUUAGGGUACAGCAGCAGCUUGGUGAUGUAAAGUUUACAUUGUAAACACAACAACCCUUGUUUAAAAUGUAGUUGUGAAUGGUGUAUCUGUUUUUGUUUCCUGAUUUCUACAUGAGUUGUUGUGAUGGAUUGUAAAUGACAAUUUACAUAAAUUUGUGAAAUUUGGUGAAUGGUGAUGCAGGAUUGUCAUGGCAGAUUCAUCAAAAGUAGACGGUACACAAGUUGAUAGUAGUAGUACUAGUAGCCUGAAAAGAAGGUCGGGUGAUAUCGUGUGGAAAUACGGAUGUUAGAUGCAAGGUCAUAGUUAAUAUUUUUUGUAGAUUCGUACUAAGAGAAGGAAUAGGCUUACAAAAAAUCGCCUCAAUCAACUAGUGUACAUUCAGUUCAACUCCCGAUUGAUGUCCAAGCGAAGGAAGAUAAAGGAUAAGAAGAAUGUUGAUGUUCUCAUGAGCUCUGAUUCAGUUGAAGCUCAAGGGUUCAUAUAUGAGGGAGGAGACAUGCACACAUUACAUGUGGUUUAGGGAUGAAGACGAUAGAGGACACGACGGCAUCCCAUGGAGUGUUAUUGAUGAUGCAAUUGGAGCUAGUGAGAGUCGUGAACCGCGUAGGAGUGCAAGACUAGUGAGAGAGCUUCAUGAUGAAGAGUUUGAUUCCGAAGAAGAAGAAAAUAACGAGGAAAUAGAGCCGAUCGCUUUCGAGGAUGAUGAAGAAUAUUGACGACUUACCAAGCUAUGAGUUUGAUAUCGCCUUUAUGGAUUAUCUUAUGCCUUUAUGGUUUAUCUUAUGUGUGUAUUCUUCUAUGUUAGAACUUGAACAUUAGUUAUCUUGAACUUUAUCAAUUACAAAACUAUAACUCUGUGAACUUUACACUGUUAUGUUUGAACUUGUCUAUUUCACUUAAAUCUAUUACAUUUUUUCAAAACGCCUAAUCGGCCAAGGUGUAAGGCAGGACCUCACCGCCUUACUACCGCCUUACGCCUUCCACAACCUUGUCUUUUAGUAAGUAAUUCUGCCUUCUGCAUCUGAUUACCUUUCUUUUCCAGAUGUUGAACCUGGAGUGGAUGCAAUGGGGAGAGUUUUAUCUGCAUUGACCCUUGAAGAUUCAUCUACUGAGGAUCCAGCAAGUGGGAUUAAGACAUUAAAACUCUUAACAGUCAAAAGUAUUUAGUUAUGAAUCAUUAUGUACAUGAGAUUGAUGUGGAGUUUAAUUGUAUUUCCUAUGCUUUGUUUGCUCAUUUCAGGUGCAGCUACGGUGUUCAUUAAGUCACCAUUUGCACUUGCCGACUGAUUUACUAGAAGUCUGAAACUCGAUUACAAUUAAGGUAUGAAUCAUAUUAAAUAAUCUUGAAUUGAAAGUUAAUAAGUUAUGCCUUUAGUUUACAGUUUCAAACUGAAACUUGUUUUUUACUUAACUGUCUGCAGAUGGAUUACUUGGUUUCAACUGUUCUCAAUGGUUGCUGGUGAUGGAUUAUGGUGGAUGCAGUCGUUGGAUUUCUAUUUAUGUUUUUCAUUAUGCUAAGUUUCAGUUCAUGAAUUCUUCCUUAAUUUGACAGUUUCAUUUGGUCAUUUGUUUAAAACUUCAAAAUCAGGUUUUCUAUUUCCAUUAUGAAUGUUGCUGCAUAGGCUUGCAGAUGCAUGCAGUUUGGAUUUGGAUUUGCAUUUAUCCAUUUUCAAUUUUAGUCAUAUUUGUGUUUUUAUCUUCUUGUAUACGGUUAUUUUGUCACCGGUGGGUAUCCGGUAUCCGGCCGGUGACGGGGGGGUAUGAGCUUUGGAUCCAUGGUCGGGGACGGGGACGGGAAAACCGUCGACUUCGACAGGUGGGGAUCGGAUAUAUUACAUCCGUCCUCGAUCCGCCCCAUGUCCAAGCCUAUGUGAAAUUGGGAUAGCUUAAUUGAAACUAUUUGUAGGGUUUUUUAAUUCGAAAGCAAUGGAAUUUUAUGUAUAAUUCUCAAAAUUGAAAGUUAUUAUCAAAAAUUUUAUAUAUGAAUUAGACUUUUAAACAUAAAAUUAUGUUCAGGGAUUUCGAAACAUUUUGUCGGACAGUAUAGGACACUCCGGUGGAAAUAUGCAUCAGGUGCAAACGCUAUGUGGUGGUAUACCAUUGAGUGGUUUUUAUUUUUUAUCAAAUAAAAAUAAAUUGUGUUAGC
rnacentral:lncRNA from 1 species